AGCUUUGUAGUUUUUAAAAAUAUUUGUUUGUGGCGCGAAAGUGCUGAGGCUA
rnacentral:tRNA from 1 species